rnacentral:rRNA from 1 species
CGGCGGACGGGUAAGUAACACGUGGAUAACCUACCUAUAAGACUGGGAUAACUUCGGGAAACCGGAGCUAAUACCGGAUAAUAUUUUGAACCGCAUGGUUCAAAAGUGAAAGACGGUCUUGCUGUCACUUAUAGAUGGAUCCGCGCUGCAUUAGCUAGUUGGUAAGGUAACGGCUUACCAAGGCAACGAUGCAUAGCCGACCUGAGAGGGUGAUCGGCCACACUGGAACUGAGACACGGUCCAG